GCUUAACACAUGCAAGUCGAACGAAGCACCUUAUUCUGAUUUCUUCGGAAUGAAAAAUUUGGUGACUGAGUGGCGGACGGGUGAGUAACGCGUGGGUAACCUGCCUCAUACAGGGGGAUAACAGUUAGAAAUGACCGCUAAUACCGCAUAAGACCACAGCACUGCAUGGUGCAGGGGUAAAAACUCCGGUGGUAUGAGAUGGACCCGCGUCUGAUUAGGUAGUUGGUGGGGUAACGGCCUACCAAGCCGACGAUCAGUAGCCGACUUGAGAGGGUGACCGGCCACAUUGGGACUGAGACACGGCCCAAACUCCUACGGGAGGCAGCAGUGGGGAAUAUUGCACAAUGGGGGAAACCCUGAUGCAGCGACGCCGCGUGAGCGAUGAAGUAUUUCGGUAUGUAAAGCUCUAUCAGCAGGGAAGAAAAUGACGGUACCUGACUAAGAAGCACCGGCUAAAUACGUGCCAGCAGCCGCGGUAAUACGUAUGGUGCAAGCGUUAUCCGGAUUUACUGGGUGUAAAGGGAGCGUAGACGGAGUGGCAAGUCUGAUGUGAAAACCCGGGGCUCAACCCCGGGACUGCAUUGGAAACUGUCAAUCUGGAGUACCGGAGAGGUAAGCGGAAUUCCUAGUGUAGCGGUGAAAUGCGUAGAUAUUAGGAGG
rnacentral:rRNA from 1 species